rnacentral:rRNA from 1 species
GAUGAACGCUGGCGGCGCGCCUAACACAUGCAAGUCGAACGGCACCCCUCCUCGGAGGGAAGCGAGUGGCGAACGGCUGAGUAACACGUGGAGAACCUGCCCCCUCCCCCGGGAUAGCCGCCCGAAAGGACGGGUAAUACCGGAUACCCCGGGGUGCCGCAUGGCACCCCGGCUAAAGCCCCGACGGGAGGGGAUGGCUCCGCGGCCCAUCAGGUAGACGGCGGGGUGACGGCCCACCGUGCCGACAACGGGUAGCCGGGUUGAGAGACCGACCGGCCAGAUUGGGACUGAGACACGGCCCAGACUCCUACGGGAGGCAGCAGUGGGGAAUCUUGCGCAAGGGGGGGAACCCUGACGCAGCGACGCCGCGUGCGGGACGGAGGCCUUCGGGUCGUAAACCGCUUUCAGCAGGGAAGAGUCAAGACUGUACCUGCAGAAGAAGCCCCGGCUAACUACGU